rnacentral:rRNA from 1 species
GGUUAAGUGACUAAGCGUACAUGGUGGAUGCCUUGGCAGUCAGAGGCGAUGAAGGACGUACUAACCUGCGAUAAGCCGUGAGCAGUCGGUAAGAGACAUUACGACUCACGGAUUUCCGAAUGGGGAAACCCACUUAGCAUAAGCUAGGUAUCGCUGCGUGAAUACAUAGCGUAGCGAGGCGAACCGGGAGAACUGAAACAUCUAAGUACCCCGAGGAAAAGAAAUCAACCGAGAUUCCCUCAGUAGCGGCGAGCGAACGGGGAUUAGCCCUUAAGCAUCUUGGAAGUUAGUGGAACGGUCCUGGAAAGGCCGGCGAUACAGGGUGAUAGCCCCGUACACGAAAACAACCUUGAUGUGAAAUCGAGUAGGGCGGGACACGUGACAUCCUGUCUGAAUAUGGGGGGACCAUCCUCCAAGGCUAAAUACUCCUGACUGACCGAUAGUGAACCAGUACCGUGAGGGAAAGGCGAAAAGAACCCCUGUGAGGGGAGUGAAAUAGAACCUGAAACCGUGUACGUACAAGCAGUGGGAGCCCUUCGGGGUGACUGCGUACCUUUUGUAUAAUGGGUCAGCGACUUACAUUUUGUAGCGAGGUUAACCGUAUAGGGGAGCCGUAGGGAAACCGAGUCUUAACUGGGCGUCUAGUUGCAAGGUGUAGACCCGAAACCGGGUGAUCUAGCCAUGGGCAGGUUGAAGGUUGAGUAACAUCAACUGGAGGACCGAACCCACUAACGUUGCAAAGUUAGGGGAUGACCUGUGGCUGGGGGUGAAAGGCCAAUCAAACUCGGAGAUAGCUGGUUCUCCCCGAAAGCUAUUUAGGUAGCGCCUCGGACGAAUACUACUGGGGGUAGAGCACUGUUUGGGCUAGGGGGUCAUCCCGACUUACCAACCCCAUGCAAACUCCGAAUACCAGUAAGUAAUAUCCGGGAGACACACGGCGGGUGCUAACGUCCGUCGUGAAGAGGGAAACAACCCAGACCGCCGGCUAAGGUCCCAAAGUUCUGGUUAAGUGGGAAACGAUGUGGGAAGGCUCAGACAGCUAGGAUGUUGGCUUAGAAGCAGCCAUCAUUUAAAGAAAGCGUAAUAGCUCACUAGUCGAGUCGGCCUGCGCGGAAGAUGUAACGGGGCUCAAACCAGGCACCGAAGCCGCGGAUUCACGCUAAGCGUGAGUGGUAGGGGAGCGUUCUGUAAGUCUGCGAAGGUGUGUCGAGAGGUAUGCUGGAGAUAUCAGAAGUGCGAAUGCUGACGUAAGUAACGAUAAAGGGGGUGAAAAGCCUCCUCGCCGGAAGACCAAGGGUUCCUGUCCAACGUUAAUCGGGGCAGGGUGAGUCGACCCCUAAGGCGAGGCCGAAAGGCGUAGUCGAUGGGAAGCAGGUUAAUAUUCCUGCACGACUUGUAAUUGCGAUGGGGGGACGGAGAAGGCUAGGUGGGCCAGGCGACGGUUGUCCUGGUGAAAGUGCGUAGGUGGUGUUUCUAGGCAAAUCCGGAGACACAACACUGAGACACGAGACGAACACACUACGGUGUGGAAGCCAUUGAUGCCCUGCUUCCAGGAAAAGCCUCUAAGCUUCAGAUUACAAGUCAUCGUACCCCAAACCGACACAGGUGGUCGGGUAGAGAAUACCAAGGCGCUUGAGAGAACUCGGGUGAAGGAACUAGGCAAAAUAGAACCGUAACUUCGGGAGAAGGUUCGCUCUUGACAGUGAAGUCCCUUGCGGAUGGAGCAGUUGGGAGUCGCAGUGACCAGAUGGCUGGGACUGUUUAUCAAAAACACAGCACUCUGCAAACACGAAAGUGGACGUAUAGGGUGUGACACCUGCCCGGUGCCGGAAGGUUAAUUGAUGGGGUUAGCGCAAGCGAAGCUCUUGAUCGAAGCCCCGGUAAACGGCGGCCGUAACUAUAACGGUCCUAAGGUAGCGAAAUUCCUUGUCGGGUAAGUUCCGACCUGCACGAAUGGUGUAACCAUGGCCAUGCUGUCUCCACCCGAGACUCAGUGAAAUCGAAUUCGCCGUGAAGAUGCGGUGUACCCGCGGCUAGACGGAAAGACCCCGUGAACCUUUACUACAGCUUGGCACUGAACAUUGAACCUACAUGUGUAGGAUAGGUGGGAGGCUUUGAAGGCGUGACGCCAGUUGCGCUGGAGCCGUCCUUGAAAUACCACCCUUGUAUGUUUGAUGUUCUAACGCAGGCCCCUGAAUCGGGGUCGCGGACAGUGCCUGGUGGGUAGUUUGACUGGGGCGGUCUCCUCCCAAAGAGUAACGGAGGAGCACGAAGGUUGGCUAAUCCUGGUCGGACAUCAGGAGGUUAGUGCAAUGGCAUAAGCCAGCUUAACUGCGAGACGGACAGGUCGAGCAGGUACGAAAGUAGGUCAUAGUGAUCCGGUGGUUCUGAAUGGAAGGGCCAUCGCUCAACGGAUAAAAGGUACUCCGGGGAUAACAGGCUGAUACCGCCCAAGAGUUCAUAUCGACGGCGGUGUUUGGCACCUCGAUGUCGGCUCAUCACAUCCUGGGGCUGAAGUCGGUCCCAAGGGUAUGGCUGUUCGCCAUUUAAAGUGGUACGCGAGCUGGGUUCAGAACGUCGUGAGACAGUUCGGUCCCUAUCUGCCGUGGGCGUUGGAUGAUUGAAGGGAGUUGCUCCUAGUACGAGAGGACCGGAGUGAACGAACCUCUGGUGUUCGGGUUGUCACGCCAGUGGCACUGCCCGGUAGCUAAGUUCGGAAUCGAUAACCGCUGAAAGCAUCUAAGCGGGAAGCGAGCCCUGAGAUGAGUCAUCCCUGACCCCUUGAGGGUCCUAAAGGGCCGUUGGAGACCACAACGUUGAUAGGUGGGGUGUGUAAGCGCGGCGACGUGUUGAGCUAACCCAUACUAAUUACCCGUGAGGCUUAACCAU